rnacentral:rRNA from 2 species
CAACUUUCAGCAACGGAUCUCUUGGCUCUCGCAUCGAUGAAGAACGCA